AAAUCAAUUAUCAGUUGAUGUGAGGAAUCAACUGAGUGGACUGUUUCCUCAAACAACAUAAGGUGCAGAGAAUGGGAUUAUUUAACAGAUGAUGCAAUACUCGCACGAACACAGCAACAGGGAGAGACCUUUGUUCCAUUUGCCGCAGACAUUUCCCCAUGCAUUCACUUCUUGUUUAAGUCGCACUAGAUGUGAGCGUCUUCCUCCUCCUCUUACACUGUCUAUAUGCUGUCUACAGAUGAUGACCAGUGAGGCUGUCGUCUGCUGUCUUGUCCGCAGGCAGGUCACCCUCACAGUGUCUGAGUGGCUGUGACAUUCGAGAGGCUGGGAAGGAAACUGCAGCGCCGAGUUUCAGUUCUGCCUCAACAUUCAGGCUGUCUCUCAGGCUGUUACUGCGAUUUCUCACCUAUACUGUAGCCCACAUACAAUAUUUAUACCCACAUUAGCUAUGGCGCUUCUUUUAAUCCCUUUCACACUUCUAUCUGCAGACCCAAGGAGCUUUACAUUCCCUCAGGUGUGAUUUCUAUAGUUAAGCUUUCUCACCGCACAUUCCUGUCAAAUCAAUUUGUUUAUGGCUAUUUUGAUUCAGUAUAUUCUAUAGAUGCUAUUCAUGUUGCUGUCUGUACAAUUUAUUACCUCUGAGUUUUGUCUUUCAUGCUUCGCUUUCAGUAGAUAUCGAUAAGUCUCUGUAUUACGCAUAUGUUACUGUAUUUAUGCUGCUUUGAUGCUCUAUUCCCCAAAGUAUGAUCAAUAAAUCAAACCUAUAGCCAUUUGAAACAGGCCCCCAGAGAAAAAAACCCAAGUGCAGUGAUGAACGCUGAUUCAGAUCAUCAGAAAAAUGCUAAAUAUCCAUAUACAGCGUAUACGUUCAUGUAAUGUAAUGUAUUUAUAAUUGACUUUUACUUGUGCUUUUUAAUUUAAGUACAUUAAAUAUUCAGACUGAGUCUUCUCAAGCAUCCAGUGGCUUUGGAGCUGUGAAACACACUGUAAAUUUUCCCCAGAGGGAUUAUUUUAACAUCCUUGAAAGUUUAGUAUGUGACAAUCAUUGCAUUUAUAUCUAAAAAAACUUUGAUUACUCCAAAAUGUAUCAUUUUUUAAAAAAAAUAACAAUAUAUUCACACUUUUCACCGACUGUAAUGUUACAUUCAGUGGUUUUAUUUCAUCUGUGUAUAUUUGUGCUGUGUUGAUGUCAAGGUUUUCUUUCUGUCUGACACCCAUUGUGCCUGUUUUUCAUCUGGUUCUGGAUACCUGUAUAUUACAGCUCGCCGUGGUUUGGUGUGUUGCAUGCAGGUGACGUCAUCCUAUUCAGUGUGUCUGGACAAAAUAUUAACCUCAGUUCCUUCGCAGAUGUUUUUCACACUACAGGUUCACAAAUGCUGAAAUUUAGCUGUGAAGGCGAAACUUAAAAAAAAAAAAAAAGUUUAAACAUUCAUUUUUUUCAAGAAAAUCCACAACAUUAACUUCAGAGGCCCUAGAUGAGUUGGCAUGGAAUGACCCUGGGACACUUAUGACACUUAAUAACACUGUCAUUUUAUAGGAGCCCUUCUUUUUUAUUUUAGGAAUUAGACAAAUUGUUUUAUUUCAUGGGCACUUCAGGAAAAUCCCCUUUAGCUUGAAAUGAAUAGAAGAACAAGGCAUGAUCCUCUCUCAUUAUGCUCAGCUGUUAUGCGUGACCUUCAGUGACACUCCCCAUCAGCCUGUGAUUGAUUGACAGCUGGAUCUCAGCCAGCCGUCAAGUGAAUGCUGCCGCUUUUCGGCUUAACUUACUUUUUGAGGAAAGCAGACAGAGCCCUGACAAACUCCUGCUGGUUGACAUCUUUCACCGUGACACUGGGCAUCUAAAUAGAGCGAGGUGGAGACACAAAGACCCAAAGGCUUCUCAAGAAGUGUGCUGCAGUCAGCAGGCGAGGGAAAGGCAUCUCGCUGAGGGAGACAUCACCAGUGCAGAAUUGAUCCUCUGAGACAGCCUGCAGUUUCUCAUUGAAGAUUUUUAUCAGGAAUGCCGUGGUAAACCAGAGAAGCUCCUCUGCGAGAAAAGAACCAUGGGAAAAACCUCAAACUAGAUUACACUGGUGAGGAUGUGAUCCAGUCGUUUGCAGACGUGUCAAGACGAAACGUUUCACGUCGGACUGUGUCGACAUCGAUAAAAAACGACGUCAUGGAAAGCCGAGAUGAGACAUCCUGCUUCUCCGGAGGGGGCAGUACCUUUUGGCCGGCUUUGUGUGCAGAACACUUACACGGUUCAAUAAAAAGACAGCCAAGGUUCGUGACCCCGAAAUAUGAUUCACAUGGGACUUGUCAAAUCUGACACAGCUGAAAAUUACAACAGUCAAGACCUGCAGUUGAGAGUCCAGGAGCACACUGAUUUAUACCAAAGCAAUCAAUGGAUCAUCAAAAUAAUUGCAGAUGGAUUAUCUGCUGUUUUCUGCAGCUCUACACUUUUACACAUGUUGUGGAUGAAUGAUUUGUACCUUGUUCUGUUUACUGAUUACCUGAAAAUGAGACAAUUAAACAGAAAAAAUGAUGACAACUUGUGUUAUUUUUUUGUUAAACACCAUGUAAAAAAAUACUGACGAGGAUGCUGAAAAGAAUUUUUAUCGACUGACGGACGUGUUGCAGCACAAGGAUACAUUUUUUUGCUCACAGGAGCUGAACACGAGAUAAACAGGUCAAUCAGAUCAAUUAUGAAGUUGCGAUGAUCAACAUGUGACAUCAGCCUCCUGCCCUGCGAAAAACAAAUAAAACUUCCUCAUUGUCACUUUUCAUUUUUCUGGAACAAAACUUGGGAGCAGGUCCCUUUUCAGGUGACGUGGCCGUCUUUCAGACUCUGACGCUCAGCCAGGGUGGCUCAGUGUUCCCUGGCUCUCCGCCUGCCAUGUGUUUGUGCAUCCCAGGACAGUUGACAUUGAUUGUGCAGGAGACAGACUGAGACACAUUAGUACCCAGCUCGCUCCUGCCGCUGAAAAACACAUUAACUGGCUGCAUUGGGAGCCCUGUCUGGUAACCAUGGCGAAGCACACAGGGAGGGGAGGGAGGGAGGAGGAGGGUUGAGACGGGGCAGCG